rnacentral:misc_RNA from 1 species
CAGGAGGCAGCAGCAUGCA